GGGUGUUAAAAGGAAGNGAUUCCGGCGGAGGAUGGGCAUGCGGCGCAUUAGCUUGUUGGCGGGGUAACGGCCCACCAAGGCACGAUGCGUAGGGGUUCUGAGAGGAAGGUCCCCCACACUGGUACUGAGACACGGACCAGACUCCUACGGAAGGCAGCAG
rnacentral:rRNA from 1 species